ensembl:lncRNA
AAUGAGAGCACUGUUUCUUAUUAAGGUCACAGGAUCACUCUGCUUUAUCUCUCCUCCCACUCUCCCACAAUGCAUAUCUCCCUAUAUGGAGCAAAAGUUGGCUGGUGACACAUCAUUCCUGUAUUUGUGAUAUGAAUGGAUUGCAGAGAAGCAUGUCGUCACGUGUGAUGCUACCGGCUCUACACCGACCGGAUCUGGACUGCACAUGAGCCACAUAGCUGGAGGGUGUAUGGUGUGGGAACGGAGAUGGGGGAUGUCCCUGCAUUCUUCACAGCCCGGGCAGCCAGGUUGUCAGGGACAGGCCCUGGUGGUGAAGCCUGUGAGGAGUUUGCAGAGAUGUCCCGCUCAACAAUGGUAAGAGCCAUCAGUUUUUCGUGUGAAUGGGAAGUUUCUGCUCAUGUCAGACUUACGGGGAACCUUUAUCUUGGUUUUAACCUCAAACCGUCACUGAUGGAAGUGUCUUUCUGUGCUUGUAUGACGUCUAACAGCAUGACAGAAUGGUUCCAGACGUCCUUUCUCAAAAGGUCAAGGGAAUGGGAUUAUAUGUCAAGUGUCUGUGUCGUCAUGUCGGUUUCUAGAGAUCACCAGGCAUAUCGCACGUGUGUCACUGCACACACACGAGCAAGGCUGGCACAAAGCAGCUCAACAGAUGAGACCUCAUCAGCUGCAUCCGUUUAUAGUCAUGAACAGCUGUUUUAG